CUGCGGGCAGGAUCUUUUUUAUGAACGAAACAGGUCCGUAAAAACACAUGGGGAUCGAAAUUUGAUGUGACUCUUCAGUUUAGAUUUCAGCUGAUUAAAGAUACAUAUAGCAAAAGGAAGAUUUAUCCAAGAAUAAGAGCUUGUGAUACUUUUGAUGAGUUGAAAUGUAGACCCAGUCCAUUCCCUCCUUGAGUCCAGU
rnacentral:sRNA from 13 species